rnacentral:rRNA from 1 species
CCUACGGGUGGCAGCAGUGAGGAAUAUUGGUCAAUGGACGAGAGUCUGAACCAGCCAAGUAGCGUGAAGGAUGACUGCCCUAUGGGUUGUAAACUUCUUUUAUAAAGGAAUAAAACGAGGCACGUGUGCCUUUUUGCAUGUAAUUUAUGAAUAAGGAUCGGCUAACUCCGUGCCAGCAGCCCCGGUAAUACGGAGGAACCGAGCGUUAUCCGGAUUUAUUGGGUUUAAAGGGAGCGUAGAUGGGUUGUUAAGUCAGUUGGGAAAGUUUGCGGCGCAACCGUAAAAUUGCCAUUGAUACUGGCAGUCUUGAGUACAGUUGAGGUAGGCGGAAUUCGUGGUGUAGCGGUGAAAUGCUUAGAUAGCACGAAGAACCCCGAUUGCGAAGGCAGCUUACUAAACUGUGACUGACAUUGAUGCUCGAAAGUGUGGGUAUCAAACAGGAUUAGAUACCCCUGUAGUC